rnacentral:rRNA from 1 species
AGAGUUUGAUCAUGGCUCAGAUUGAACGCUGGCGGCAGGCCUAACACAUGCAAGUCGAACGGUAACAGGAAACAGCUUGCUGUUUCGCUGACGAGUGGCGGACGGGUGAGUAAUGUCUGGGAAACUGCCUGAUGGAGGGGGAUAACUACUGGAAACGGUAGCUAAUACCGCAUAACGUCGCAAGACCAAAGAGGGGGACCUUCGGGCCUCUUGCCAUCAGAUGUGCCCAGAUGGGAUUAGCUAGUAGGUGGGGUAACGGCUCACCUAGGCGACGAUCCCUAGCUGGUCUGAGAGGAUGACCAGCCACACUGGAACUGAGACACGGUCCAGACUCCUACGGGAGGCAGCAGUGGGGAAUAUUGCACAAUGGGCGCAAGCCUGAUGCAGCCAUGCCGCGUGUAUGAAGAAGGCCUUCGGGUUGUAAAGUACUUUCAGCGGGGAGGAAGGGAGUAAAGUUAAUACCUUUGCUCAUUGACGUUACCCGCAGAAGAAGCACCGGCUAACUCCGUGCCAGCAGCCGCGGUAAUACGGAGGGUGCAAGCGUUAAUCGGAAUUACUGGGCGUAAAGCGCACGCAGGCGGUUUGUUAAGUCAGAUGUGAAAUCCCCGGGCUCAACCUGGGAACUGCAUCUGAUACUGGCAAGCUUGAGUCUCGUAGAGGGGGGUAGAAUUCCAGGUGUAGCGGUGAAAUGCGUAGAGAUCUGGAGGAAUACCGGUGGCGAAGGCGGCCCCCUGGACGAAGACUGACGCUCAGGUGCGAAAGCGUGGGGAGCAAACAGGAUUAGAUACCCUGGUAGUCCACGCCGUAAACGAUGUCGACUUGGAGGUUGUGCCCUUGAGGCGUGGCUUCCGGAGCUAACGCGUUAAGUCGACCGCCUGGGGAGUACGGCCACAAGGUUAAAACUCAAAUGAAUUGACGGGGGCCCGCACAAGCGGUGGAGCAUGUGGUUUAAUUCGAUGCAACGCGAAGAACCUUACCUGGUCUUGACAUCCACGGAAGUUUUCAGAGAUGAGAAUGUGCCUUCGGGAACCGUGAGACAGGUGCUGCAUGGCUGUCGUCAGCUCGUGUUGUGAAAUGUUGGGUUAAGUCCCGCAACGAGCGCAACCCUUAUCCUUUGUUGCCAGCGGUCCGGCCGGGAACUCAAAGGAGACUGCCAGUGAUAAACUGGAGGAAGGUGGGGAUGACGUCAAGUCAUCAUGGCCCUCACGACCAGGGCUACACACGUGCUACAAUGGCGCAUACAAAGAGAAGCGACCUCGCGAGAGCAAGCGGACCUCAUAAAGUGCGUCGUAGUCCGGAUUGGAGUCUGCAACUCGACUCCAUGAAGUCGGAAUCGCUAGUAAUCGUGGAUCAGAAUGCCACGGUGAAUACGUUCCCGGGCCUUGUACACACCGCCCGUCACACCAUGGGAGUGGGUUGCAAAAGAAGUAGGUAGCUUAACCUUCGGGAGGGCGCUUACCACUCUGUGAUUCAUGACUGGGGUGAAGUCGGAACAAGGUAACCGUAGGGGAACCUGCGGUUG